UAGGGAAUCUUCGGCAAUGGGGGCAACCCUGACCGAGCAACGCCGCGUGAGUGAAGAAGGUUUUCGGAUCGUAAAGCUCUGUUGUAAGUCAAGAACGAGUGUGAGAGUGGAAAGCUCACACUGUGACGGUAGCUUACCAGAAAGGGACGGCUAACUACGUGCCAGCAGCCGCGGUAAUACGUAGGUCCCGAGCGUUGUCCGGAUUUAUUGGGCGUAAAGCGAGCGCAGGCGGUUUGAUAAGUCUGAAGUUAAAGGCUGUGGCUCAACCAUAGUUCGCUUUGGAAACUGUCAAACUUGAGUGCAGAAGGGGAGAGUGGAAUUCCAUGUGUAGCGGUGAAAUGCGUAGAUAUAUGGAGGAACACCGGUGGCGAAAGCGGCUCUCUGGUCUGUAACUGACGCUGAGGCUCGAAAGCGUGGGGAGCGAACAGGAUUAGAUACCCUGGUAGUCCACGCCGUAAACGAUGAGUGCUAGGUGUUGGAUCCUUUCCGGGAUUCAGUGCCGCAGCUAACGCAUUAAGCACUCCGCCUGGGGAGUACGACCGCAAGGUUG
rnacentral:rRNA from 1 species